AUGUUUGUUAUUUCCAAGGAGUCAAACAAGACCUUUGAAAUCUUGGAAAAUUUUGCCUUAAAGGAUGUGGAACUUGAUUUUAACAAUACGGCAGCAGGUUCCAGUUUAGAUGUUGUCCCCAGGUUCAGAACCUACUCGUCUAGUUCACUCAGGGAUGGGGCUACCAACAUUAUUGUGGUUCUGGGAACCCAUGCCAAGAGGAAGAGAAUUUAUUCGGUUAAUACAACAUGGUGCUCCGUCAGUAUUUUCAGACUACAGGAGAAACAUAUGCAGAACGUGUGGACAGAGGGCCAACCAUAAACGCCAAAAAAAAUCAACUUUAAAAAAUAACUUUAGCAAUGUGAGUUAUUUUUAAAUAUAAAUAGGGACUGAACAUACAUGCAUCAAAUUGUACUCUCAUAAACUGACAUAAGCAUACCUUCAAACAAGUUAAUAUAAAGGUAAAUACAUAAAUAUAUACAAAUAAAUACACAUACCCAAAUAACAAGCCACACAGCACCCACCAUUUUCCGAGACCAAAAUUUUCAUAUAAACAUACUGGCAAAUACAGCAAAAUAUCACUGUAAAUUAAUAUGCUUACAUAUACAGACACGUAUAAAUACCAGAAUUCAAAGUGACAUGUAGCGUAUAACACAGGUACUUAAGGCAUAAACA
rnacentral:lncRNA from 1 species